AUCUGAUCGUCGGACAUGGCGUCGCCCAUGCUCUCCGCCGCCACCGUGCCACUCCAGGGAGGCGGCUUGUCGGAGUUCUCCGGCCUGAGGAGCUCGUCGUCGCUGCCGCUGCGGCGGAAUGCCACCUCCGACGACUUCAUGAACGCGGUCUCCUUCAGGACCCACGCGGUUGGCACGAGCGGCGGGGCGCGGCGGGCGCCGACGGAGGCGAAGCUGAAGGUGGCGAUCAACGGGUUCGGCCGCAUCGGGCGCAACUUCCUGCGGUGCUGGCACGGGCGCGGCGACAGCUCGCCCCUCGACGUCAUCGCCAUCAACGACACCGGAGGCGUGAAGCAGGCGUCGCACCUCCUCAAGUACGACUCCACGCUCGGCAUCUUCGACGCCGACGUCAAGCCCGUGGGCGACAACGCCAUCUCCGUCGACGGCAAGGUGAUCAAGGUCGUCUCCGACCGCAACCCGUCCAACCUGCCG
rnacentral:misc_RNA from 1 species